rnacentral:rRNA from 1 species
UACGUAGGGGGCUAGCGUUGUCCGGAUUUAUUGGGCGUAAAGAGCGUGUAGGCGGCCAGGUAGGUCUGCUGUGAAAACUCGAGGCUUAACCUCGAGAUGUCGGCGGAAACCAUCUGGCUAGAGUCCGGAAGAGGAGAGUGGAAUUCCUGGUGUAGCGGUGGAAUGCGCAGAUAUCAGGAAGAACACCCGUGGCGAAGGCGGCUCUCUGGGACGGUACUGACGCUGAGACGCGAAAGCGUGGGGAGCGAACAGG